CGGGGACUCGCGCUGCGGACACCGUUAGGCGGAACUCCCCUUCUGCCUCCUGGCCUACAGAACUUGUGAAAGCAGCUCCCCAUCAGCCGGGACCCCCGUCUUAAAGGCAGAAAGUGAUGCUCGGGGGCUAGGCCCGGCUCUGGGGGAGGGGAGGCCGCCGGGACACUUGCCUUCCGGUCCCGCUGCUGCGGCUGUCGCCGGGCCCCACACCUUCCAGUUCCAUGGGGUCAGAGAUGUAAAGCCGGGCCGGAUCCCGGGACUGACUCACUUAGAGGCCCCUCCCGCAUUUUACAGAGAUGGAAACUGAGGAAAAGCUCCAUCGCCCCUGGAUCUGAAAUCCCGCCAAACGCCUAUUUCCUUUUCCGCCCAACCAGGGGAAUGGACCGCAUGGUCUCUAAGGUCCCCCCGGGGUUCUGCCAUUCUCUGUUCCAAAGCCACAAAGCCCCGCGCUAACAUUCUGUGUUCCGAGGAUCCCUCCCGGCUCCAGGGUUCUCUGUUCCAAGACCCUUUCCAGCUCCCUGAUUCUCUGUUCUGCGUUCUGGGGUCACCUAAAACGCCGGCGUUCCGUGUUCCGAGGCCCCCAGCGUGUUCGCACGCUUCCAUUCCAUGGCUUGCUUUCGGCUGGUUCUUUUUGGAACGCGGCCCUUCCACCACCAAUGGGUGCGCUUCCUGUGGCCUGGGGUUUAGCAGCAGCAUAGAGGUGAUCCUGAGUUCCUCAGAAUUAUGCUAUGGGAGGAAAAGCUCUAACCAGCCUGAAAGACUUCAUGUAGUCCUGGCCUAGAUUCCCAGGUUUGGAAGGCCUGGUAUGGCCACACGAGCAAUGGCCACAUGCCUCAGCAGGCAUAGCAGAUCACAGGAUCCUUGAUGGAGAGCUGGACAGAACAUCAUCAAUUCCAAGGACCUCAUUGUACGGAGGAGAAAAUUAAAGCCCAGGGAGAUUAAAGGACUUCCCUAAAUUCACAUAGAGAAUAAAGAAUUGAACCCAG